UACGUAGGGGGCAAGCGUUGUUCGGAAUUACUGGGCGUAAAGGGCGCGUAGGCGGCACGGCAAGUCGGGAGUGAAAGGCCUGGGCUCAACCGAGGAACUGCUUUCGAGACUGCCGAGCUAGAGUGCGGAAGGGGCAACUGGAAUUCCCAGUGUAGCGGUGAAAUGCGUAGAUAUUGGGAAGAACACCUGAGGCGAAGGCGGGUUGCUGGGCCGACACUGACGCUGAGGCGCGAAAGCAUGGGGAGCGAACGGG
rnacentral:rRNA from 1 species